rnacentral:lncRNA from 1 species
CUGGAAGGGGUGCAACAUUAGAUGGGCUGGUCAGGGAAGGCUUCUCUGAUGAGCUGACAUUUGAGCAGGGACAUGCAUGGUAACAGUCUCUAGCCUUAUGAAGCUCAGUAAGAACCACGUCCCUGAGGUUGGAACAAAUGGACAAAAUGAAGAGGAGAAGAUGGCAGAUUGCUUAAUUUCUUGAAAUGUGAUGAUCAAGAACACAGCUUGGAAGUUCAACGGACCGUAAGUUUGAGCCAAGACUGAACCGCAAAGGACACAUUCCUACUUUCACAGAAGUAGAAUCUAUUCCUUCCCUCCUCUUGAACCUGGGCAAGCCUGAGUGAUUUGUUUGGUCAAUAGAGUGGGAUGGAAGUAACGUUCUGGAACAGCUGAGUCCCGGUCAUAAGAAGCCAGGCCAUCUCUCUCUGAGCCUUCUGGAACCAUCACUCUAGGGAAAGUAAGCUACCAAUCAGGAGUCUGAUUACCCUGAGACCACCAUGCUGUAGGAAGCCCAAGUCACAUGGAAAGGCCCUGGAAGAAGACAUGCUAUGUGGAGAGAGAGAAAAAGAGAGCGGCCAAGGAGGACUGAGGCACCAGACGUAGUUGUGCUCUCUCUGGGCCCUGCAGUGAAGUUUUGGCCUGGUGCCUAGAAACACCUCCAUGUUACUCAGAACAAGGCGAGGUGCAAACCAAACCAAUGGCACGGAAGGUCCCUUGCUGCUUCUAGAAUCUGGUGUGUGUCCGUGAUCCCACUCUUCUCUGCACCUCUGCCUGCUCUCCCAAAUGAAGACUGCCCAUCCGGCUCAUCACCUUGGUCCUACCUAGCUUUCCAGGCCAAGUUCAAAUUCUUCCUUUGCAAUGGAACUGAGGACCACCUCAUUGGUCCCAUAUAUCUCUUCUCUUCUUGAUCCAAAUCCCUGCUCAAAAGGAAGAUUAGCCCUGAGCUAACAUCCAUGCCCAUCUUCCUCUAUCUUAUAUGUGGCAUGCUGCCACAGCAUGGCUUGAUAAGUGGUGUGUAGGUCCAUGCCCAGGAUCUGGGCUGGCAAACCCUGGGCCACUGAAGUGGAACACUCAAACUUAACCACCACGCCACCCGGCUGGCCCCCUUCGGACACAACUUUUAACCUUCAUCAGCCUCAAGUGACCACCUGUAAAACGGCUACAAGGUCUGACUGUCUAUGAGGCUGUGAGCACUUGGUGAUGUUUAAUAAACAGGGCCUGGACUAGGGCAAGAAUGGCCAGAGGCAGAACCAGAAACGUAGGGAGAAGGUUUUCCUUUGCAGCUUUCUGAGAGCCCUUACAAGCACUUGAUCUUUGUUCCCUUCAGCAACAAUGGAUGAGAGUAUACAACAUUGGAGCCACAAAGUGUGAACUGACGUAUGAAUUGGAGAAAGAUGUUUGCCGGGUAGGAGGAAUGUGGAAGACCACGCUGGCUCCAAACUGUGAAGACUGAGGCACAUAUUAGAAGAGUCUUCUCCCCAACAGCUCCCAUCUAUACCAGUUACCAGUUUGCUGCUUCUACCCCAACGACCAGGCCGUCUCCCCUACGCAGAAACCUAUUAACCCUAGGAGGUGCCCUCCAUCCCCGAUCUCUGCAUGCAGUACCAGUAGGCUGGUAUCAAGCACCUUCUCCAUAAGAUGUCUCUUCAAGCUCUCUGGAGUCCUGAGAAGACCCAACAGGCAGAACGUCUAGUGAGAUUAGCCCUGUCUGGACUGAAGAACAAGUCAUUGUCUUUAGCGAGUAUUGGUGGUAUUGAUGCACCAGAACGGUGAUGGAUUUGUGGCACCCUCAUAAUACAGUCAUGUGUCAAUUGAAUGCCUGGGAGGAAGACAUUACCACUCAAGCAUAAGAAUGAAAAAUUGUAGAUUCUAGAGGGAAUCAAGAACACUGUGUCUGAGAUCCUUCCUAACGAUGCAUAGAAAUAAUAGGAGAGAAGGAGGGAAAAGGGGUCUUGAAAGGAGCGUGGGUCAAAGUUUAGAGUAAUAAUGUUUGUACUGUGGUUAUAGUUAUAGCUGUAUAAUCCAUCCUGAGGCUGAUGUGGUCUGGAGAAAAGGGGAAGAGGCCUUAAUAUUUUAGAUUUAUAUUGAAAAUACCUGUUCUUUUUUGUUUUAAGGAAAGGUACAUGAACUUUGGGCUCUGACAGAAUUGGCCUUCAUUGCUAACCACCAUCAUUUACUAGUUCUGGAUACUUGAGCAAGUAAUAAAACCCGCCUAAAUCUGUUUUCUCAGUAAACUUGGGUUCUCAUGGUGUUGUUGGGAUCUAUCUGAUCUUAAAGAGAACUGACUGUUUACCAAAGAGGUCGCCCUCAUCUGCGAAGGCAAAGGCAAGGUCUUUUACAGUCCUGAAAGCCCCAUAUUUGUCUCUGGAGUUAGCAUGGCCUCUGUGAGACAGACUAGGUGUUCAGCCUUGUGCUCCACAGCAUUGUCUCUCACUCAGCUAUCACCUGGGGCCAGAUCCCUUCAAAGGGUGCUGUGAUCCAGGCCACGAUGACAGCUUAAGUCAUACGCUCCCCUGCACCCCCAAUCUGGCAUGAUGAUCUAAAGCCCUGCCUGUGCCUUUUCUGAGAUGUGUUCAGAAGUAGGCCUUACCUCCUGACUUCCAGAGGAGGAGAGCCGGGGAUCUCUGUGAAGGAGCACUCCCAGUGCCUCUGGGGAAGCCAAAGGCACUACCCCCCGCCCCCCUCCAGCAUGUGACAGGAACCAUCCCAUAUCAAAGGCAACUGUGGCAGAGGAAAAGGUCUGCUUCAGGGAGGGAAGGGAGCCAAGCUGUGGAGAGCGCUUAAAUAGAACUGGCAGCCAGAAUCUUUGAUGGCCCUAGCAACAAGCACUUGAGUGGCAGGACUGUAGUGUUGAUUUUUCUUUUAAUCUUCUCUCACUUCAGGAUAACACAGUUCUCUGCUGGAAAAGUCAGUCUUUACCGAUUUCUGGCACUGGGGCCAAGAAUCACAGAAAUACUGCUUUGGCUAAAAUUCUGAAAUAAGACCUCAUUACCUAUGAUUACAAAAAAGAGAGAGUGAAUGUGUCUGUAUAUGAUAUCUCUUUUUGUGGUCAUGAUGUUGCUUUUCACACCAUCUUUGUUAGGUGCCAUUAAAGGUGCCAGAGCCAACCCUACGAGCUGAUUGACGAAGGCUGCAUCAGAGAUGACUGACAAGGAAGGACAAAGGGCAAGAGAGCAAAAAGAAUUUAGAACAAGAGAGAAGUGCCUAAGUGGAUCAGUUACUGGGGAUAGGAAGAGCAUGCUGUUUAAAGAGCCAGAGGAACUUAGACAAGUGUUACUCAACCUGGCCCAAGAGAAAGUGUUGGAGGACCAAGAAUUUGUUAUUAGACAGAUGAAACAUAACCUUACCUCUGUGUUUGACUAGGCUCUGCAUGUAUGGUGUGGGGAGAGCAGGUAAAGUAAGGAAGCAGCGUGGAAUGUGGGAACUAAGGGAAUCUAAAGUGAUCGUCCAAACUUUGUGCAAUUACAGACAAAAAUUGUUGGUAAUAAACACUGACAUUGGACAGCUAGAUAAAAACCCAAAGGAGAUUAGCAGGACCAAAUUGAAAUAACUUAGUGUAACCAAAAAAUAGCUCAUGGAUCUUGUAUUAGUCUGAUCAAGCUACGAUAAGAAAAUACAGUCGUGUCUCAACAACAGGGAUACAUUCUGAAAAACGCUUCGUUAAGUGAUUUUGUCAUUGUGCGAACAUUGUAGAGUGUACUUACACAAAUCUAGAUGGCAUGGCCUACUACAAACCUAGAUGGCAUAGACUACUACACACCUAGAUGGUACAGCCUACUACACACCUAGGCUAUAUGGUACUAAUCUUAUGGGACCGCUGUCGUGUACGCACUCCAUGGUUGACAGAAAUGUCGUUAUGCGCCGCAUGUCUGUACCAUAGACUGGUUGGCUUAAACAACAGACAUGUUUUCUCACAGUUCUGGAGGUUGGAAGUACAUGAUCAAGGUGCUGGCAAAUUUGUUUCCUGGUGAGAACUCUUCCUGGUUUGUUGAUGGUCACCUUCACUGUAUGUCCUUACAGGGCCUUUCCUCCAUAUGUGCACACAGAAAAAGAGAGAAAGUAAGUUCUCUGGCGUCUCUUCUUCUGAGCACAAUAAUCCUACUAGGUCAGGGUCCCACCCUUAUGACUUCAUUAACCUUAAUUACCUCCUAAAAGAACUAUUUCCAAAUACAGUCACACUGGGGGUUAAAACUUCAACAUAUGAAUUUUGGUGGGACAAAAUUCAGUCCAUAGCACCCAGGUUUGAGAACAAAUGUUUUAGGCCAUUGGUUAUCAUCAAGGGGUGAUUUUGUCUUCCAGGGGACAUUUAACAAUAUCUGGAGACAUUUUUAGUUGUCUCAACUUGGGGAAGGGUUGCUACUGACAUCUAGUGAGCAGAAAGGCCAGAGAUAGUGACAAACACCCUACAAUGCACAAGACAACAGCCCACCACCACCGAAAGAAGCUUCCUUUCUUUCUUAGAAAAUAUAACACAUUAGGUGCCCCAGUGUUUUCAUGUGAAUGAGUUUGUCUUAUACUUUCCUUCCUGGUAAGAGACACAUGUGUCAGAGGAACCCUGCAGGAAGGGUGGAAAAGGAUGAAAUCUGACGCUGAGGCAUUGUCCACAGGUCAGGGACUCUCAACUCCGGCUGAGCGUCAGAACUACCUGGAAAGCUUUGUUGAAAUAUUGAGACCUCAGCCUACCUGCAACAAUGUGACUUAGUCUGGGAAGGACCAGACAGCUGUUGUUGUCGUUAUUAUUUUCAAGUUCUGCAAAUGAAUGUAGUGGCACAGACAGAGUUGAGACCCCUGUAGGUACUUUCAGCGCAUUAUUUUACAUAAUGCUCACGAUAGCUUGGUAAUUUAUUCCCAGUUGUAACAAUGAGAAAACAGGUCCAGAGGGCUCCAGGCCAUCACUAAAUGUUAAUAGAUAGAAAGUGGUAGAACUGAGAUUGUUACCAAAUCUGCCUGGCCCACCUAUGCCAAAGGGUGAUGCGUGUGUGUGUGCACGCAUGUGUGUAUGCUCUGUGUUUUGUGUGAGCUAGUGUUGAAAGGUGAUGACACCAAGUUAAGAUUCCUCUACUUCGUUUUUCCUGGCUUGGGAAUCCAAAGAUCCAGGGUAUUUUUUCUCCCUUUGUAAACUAAAUGGCAGAGAGAAAAACAAAGUAAAUUUCUCCCUUUCAACCCAAUUCAGGUUGAAUGAGGAUGGGAACAAGACUGAUUUUAUGAGUCAAAGGACCCAGCAUAUUGUUGUGCUCUGAAAUAUUUAGGAGUAGCACUCUUUCCUCUUUUCUAUUGACAUUUAGGUAGAAAUCCAUUGAAGGAAAUUAAAAACAAAAGGAAAACUAGGAAUUGACAGUCACUCAGAAGUACACAACUCAGAUUACAUAUGAAGUCAAGUAACAUAAAGAUCAACAAACUCAGUUUUAUUACCAUUCUUGACCAUCUUAAUCCUAACUAACUCAGUCACUAAAGCAGAUAAAUCUUAUAAAUGAAAUCAGAAAUUUAUUUUUAAAAUCUCAUUCAGAGGUGAAAUCAUUAAUUUAUAUCAGAUAGUACAAACCUCUUUUAAUUUAGCUGCCAAAAAUGGCUGCCUUGAGUGUCCUCAAGGACCCAUGUGGAUCAAAGAGACAUGCCAGCACCUGGUAAACUAUAAGUUGCCACAUGAAAUGCAUCACUGUCAUCACUUUUAAUUUUAAAUUAAAAUGUAAAAUGUAGCUAGCUUCUAAGAGCACCAUCUGGGCCAGUCUUCCUCUUAUUCUCCCAUCUCUCUGCUCUUCCCACCUGCCCUUCCUCCUUUUCCUGAUGUCCUUCACCACACCCUCCACCACUCUCCACUCAUUCCUACGUGGUCUAACCACAGGAGACAUGGUCCCAUCUUUUGCAUAUAAAAACUCAAGAUUAUAAACAAACAAAUAAACUUUGAUGGUGUACAGCUAGCUGAGAAAGCUGAAUUCCAAAGGGUUACUAUGUUCCUAGUAAAAAGAGGGAAUACCAUGCGCACUUGGAAAAGAAACAGAAAUGAGCACAGUAAUGCUUUGGCAUCACAUAGGUGUAGGUUCUCCUUUUCUUUUAUUGCUAUUUCAAUGUUGUGUGUUUUUUUUUUUAAAGAUUGACAUCUGAGCUAACGAGUGUUGCCAAUCUUUUUUUUUUUUUUCUGCUUUUUUCUCCCCAAAUCCCUCCAGUAUUUAGUUGUAUAUUUUAGUUGUAGGUCCUUCUAGUUGUGGCAUGUGGGACACCGCCUCAACAUGGCCAGAUGAGCAGUGCCACAUCUGCGCCCAGGAUCCGAACUGGUGAAACCCUGGGUCACCACAGCAGAGUGUGCCAACUUAACCACUCAGCCCCGGAGCCAGCCCCUAUUUCAAUGUUCUUGAAGGAACAAAUAAAAUAC